UCUUUCUAUUUUUCUCUCCCUUUUUCUUUUUUUUAAAUUUUUUUUACUUUUUUCUCUCAUUCUCAUGCCCAUCCAUAACCAAAAAUAGCACGUAGAAACCAGGUGUAGCACCCCCUAUUUAUCGGAAAUAAGGGGUGACACCAUGGGAUGCCAACUCUUGGCAUCCUUUCAUUCUUACACGUCUCCAAUAAUUUUUUUUCAUUGAAUCCAAUGAGAUGGCAUAGAAACUAAAGAGGUUAAACUCUUCCUCUACCUGGAAAAAAUUAUAACGCCAACUCUUGGUGCGUGGAAAAGGAUUUAGCAUGAGAUUCCAAGAGUCCUUAACAAUUAAGACUCUUCCAUAAACUCAAUGCAUAUAUGAAAGGUAAUCUAAUUUAAUUGACAUUCAAACUCCUUGCCAGAGAAAGACUCCUUUUCCACACCAGUAUAUUCCAAUGGUCAUCAGAUGGCACAUGGGAUAAAAAGAAAUGUGUGGAAUAAGAAGAAUUACCAAUGAGAAAUGGAUUCUCCAUUUUCAUCGCCCAAAAAUAAGGGACAUCCAAAAUAAUUUGGCAUAGAGUUCCUUCCAAGAGAAGGACUCCUCCUCUUCCAUGCCCACACAUCCCAUAGCACCAUCAG
rnacentral:lncRNA from 1 species